rnacentral:rRNA from 1 species
AGCAGCCGCGGUAAUUCCAGCUCCAAUAGCGUAUAUUAAAGUUGCUGCAGUUAAAAAGCUCGUAGUUGAAUUUCGGGACUAAUAUGUCGGUCGUGCCUCGGUACGUACUGGUAUUUUGGUUUCUCCCUUCUGACGAACCUUGAUGUCAUUAAUUUGGUGUCUUGGGAAAUCAGGACUGUUACUUUGAAAAAAUUUAGAGUGUUUAAAGCAGGCUCACGCUUGAAUACAUUAGCAUGGAAUAAUGAAAUAGGACGUUUGAUUCUAUUUUGUUGGUUUCUAGGAUCGACGUAAUGAUUAAUAGGGAUAGUUGGGGGCAUUAGUAUUCAAUUGUCAGAGGUGAAAUUCUUGGAUUUAUUGAAGACUAACUACUGCGAAAGCAUUUGCCAAGGAUGUUUUCAUUAAUCAAGAACGAAAGUUAGGGGAUCGAAGACGAUCAGAUACCGUCGUAGUCUUAACCAUAAACUAUGCCGACUAGGGAUCGGAUGAUGUUAAUUUUUUAAUGACUCAUUCGGCGCCUUAC